UUGUAUCACCUCCGGAUGUGUUGAACACGAAUAUAGAACAUGAGUACUUCAAUUGAACCUAAAAGUAAGUAAAAAGGGAUUGUAUCUUACUCCGGAUGUGAAGAAUGUAAGUUCCUCCUCAAUCUGAAGUAGUAGCGUUGUAAAUCUUUUAGUUGCCUUUUUAUGUACUGACAUUAGUAUGAUGUUAUUAGGCUAAGUAGAACUACUCUUUUGUAUCAGAUUCAAUAUCUACAACUUUUACCCAUUAUCUUUUUGUUUUUAAUAGAAGGGGACAUUAGUAUUAGAGCAUAAGGAUGAGCGCGAUUUGGGGCUCCAUUUGCUGCAGUUUGCUGAGGUUGUUGAGGAGGCUUGUACCAAUUUGUUACCGAAUGUUGUGUGUGACUACCUCUAUAAUUUAUCCGAAAUCUUCUCCAAAUUUUACAGUAACCCUGAGUGCAAGGUAUGAUCAACGAUCUAAUUAUAUGGUUUCUUGGUAAAAUAAACCUUGUUAUUGCUUGUCAUCCUGCCCUCACAAGGCCGUUCACCUAGUGUUGAAACUAGGAAAGUUCUAAUGGCAGAGUGAAUUCUAGGUAAAAGAUGUUGCAAUGAAACUUUAAGAUGACAUGUGGCAUAUAUUGAUGAAAUGAGCAGGUUAUCGGGUCAGAUAAGGAAACAAGUAGGCUACUAUUAUGUGAAGCAACCGCAAUGGUUAUGAGAAAAUGCUUCAAUCUCCUGGGAAUCACACCUAUUUACAAGAUAUGAUUGUACUUUGAAAGCUUUACAUAUAACCUAUUCUUGAGAAGGGUGGGUUAUAUAUUACUUCAUAUAAAAUCCUAUAUACCGCGACAAUUGUAUUCAGAUCUCAUUACUUUAUUUAUUUGGACAGUUUUGAUUGUG